UCAGACGCCAAUUAGCGAACAAAAAUAGAGUUUAUUCAGCAGAUAAGCCAAAAAGUAAUGUUAACACAGAAAAAACCUUGAAACACUUCACUAUCAGUGCUUCAAGAGCAGUUCAAACAAAAAUGUAAUUCAGCAACACAAGCAGGUAAAAACAAAGCUAAACAAACUUAGUGCAAACUGCGCUUUCUGAGUCCAAGCCCUGCUAGCCGGCUCUGUAGUUUUCAAAGGAACAGUUCCCAAAAGAAAACACCAAAUUGGUCAGGAAACAAACAAACAAACUAAGAAUGCAGUAGACUGCUUCCACAAUGUGGAUAAAGCCGAAGGCUCCAAAAGGAUGGUGAAAAGACGUCGUCCGGGAUUCCAAGGUCAGGUCAGGAGAUAACAGCGGUGUCCAAAGAGCAAGCCAGGAGUCAAAAGCCGAUAGUAGUCAUCAAUCACAGGGCGAAGGCAGUAGCAAGGUCAAAUUCCGAUCCAAGGUCUGAAGAGGGUGCAGUCAUCCAAAACAGGUCCACGAUAAGACACAGCGAGAGCCAAGCUAGGUGAUAACAGCAGAUUCAAAUCAUAGUCCAAGUCCAGUCUUCAUGGAAACACAGAGAUCCCAAUGGCGCCUCAGCAACACCUUGCCACACGCAAAGUGUUGCUGAGGCGCCAUUGGGAUCUCUGUGUUUCCAUGAAGACUGGACUUGGACUAUGAUUUGAAUCUGCUGAUAUCACCUAGCUUGGCUCUCGCUGUCUUAUUGUGGACCUGUUUUGGAUGACUGCACCCUCUUCGGACUUUGGAUUGAAUUUGACCUGGCUUCUGUCUACACCCUCUGACUGACGGCUACUCCCGGCUUCUGACUAUUGGUUUGUCUUUCGGAAUUUCUGCUGCCUCCUGACCUGACCUUGGAUUCUUCUGAUGACGGCUAUUCAUCAUCCCUUUGAGGCUUUCGGCUUAUCUGCACCGUGGAAGCAGCUUUAUUGCUUUUCUAGUUUGUUUAUUUUCCAGCAAUUAACUCUAUUUGUUUUCCAAAGCUGAAUUGAAGCGUUAUUUAGUUUUUUAUUGAAUGCCAGCAUGGGAAAUUAGCGUGGCUCGUUUUUGAGUUAUUAUUGUCCAAUCUACUCUCGAAACACUGAAAAGUGAAGUGUUUCAAGGAUAUUUCCUGUGUUUAUGUUAUUUUCUGGCUUAUCUUCGGAAUAAACUCUGUUUUGUAUGUUAACUGGCGUC